rnacentral:rRNA from 1 species
GAGCGAGCGUUAUCCGGAUUUAUUGGGUGUAAAGGGUGCGUAGAUGGGGAAUCAAGUUAGUUGUGAAAUCCCUCGGCUCAACUGAGGAACUGCAACUAAAACUGAUUUUCUUGAGUGCAGGAGAGGUAAGUGGAAUUCCUAGUGUAGCGGUGAAAUGCGUAGAUAUUAGGAGGAACACCAGUGGCGAAGGCGACUUACUGGACUGUAACUGACAUUGAGGCACGAAAGUGUGGGGAGCAAACAGGAUUAGAUACCCUGGUAGUCCACACUGUAAACGAUGGAUACUAGGUGUAGGGGAUAUUAAGUCUUCUGUGCCGUCGCAAACGCAGUAAGUAUCCCACCUGGGGAGUACGGCCGCAAGGUUG